UAUCCCUAUGCUGAUCUCCCUUUCUAUUCAUUUCCCUGCAUUCAUCUUCUGCUGAUAAGAGAGAGCUGAAGAAGCUUCUUGGAUGAGAAGGGAAACGUCUUCAAAGAAAAAAACCUCUUGGAAAAAACUACCUUUGGGACAACCAUGACCUAGAUGACUGAGAAUCUCCCUAGACAAACCAAAACAACAAUAACAGCCCAAAUUUCAGGAGCUUAAGAUGGAUUCCAUAGGGCUCUCCAUUGUUUUAUCACCAGCAAUCCAUCCAUCCAGG